GAUUGAACGCUGGCGGCAGGCCUAACACAUGCAAGUCGAGCGGAUGAAGGGAGCUUGCUCCUGAAUUCAGCGGCGGACGGGUGAGUAAUGCCUAGGAAUCUGCCUGGUAGUGGGGGACAACGUUUCGAAAGGAACGCUAAUACCGCAUACGUCCUACGGGAGAAAGCAGGGGACCUUCGGGCCUUGCGCUAUCAGAUGAGCCUAGGUCGGAUUAGCUAG
rnacentral:rRNA from 1 species